UAUCCAUGGUGGGGGCAAAGGGUUUGUCACUCUUUAUAUCUCUUCCAGGCUUGGUAUAAAGUUUCACUGUCCUUUUGGGCAAGUGAGGAAAUUUGCUUCUUAAGGGC
rnacentral:snoRNA from 1 species